rnacentral:piRNA from 1 species
UCCAGGGAUGCCUCGUGGUCAGAACA